GAUGAACGCUGGCGGCGUGCCUAAUACAUGCAAGUCGAGCGAACGGACGAGAAGCUUGCUUCUCUGAUGUUAGCGGCGGACGGGUGAGUAACACGUGGAUAACCUACCUAUAAGACUGGGAUAACUUCGGGAAACCGGAGCUAAUACCGGAUAAUAUUUUGAACCGCAUGGUUCAAAAGUAAAAGACGGUCUUGCUGUCACUUAUAGAUGGAUCCGCGCUGCAUUAGCUAGUUGGUAAGGUAACGGCUUACCAAGGCAACGAUGCAUAGCCGACCUGAGAGGGUGAUCGGCCACACUGGAACUGAGACACGGUCCAGACUCCUACGGGAGGCAGCAGUAGGGAAUCUUCCGCAAUGGGCGAAAGCCUGACGGAGCAACGCCGCGUGAGUGAUGAAGGUCUUCGGAUCGUAAAACUCUGUUAUUAGGGAAGAACAUGUGUGUAAGUAACUGUGCACAUCUUGACGGUACCUAAUCAGAAAGCCACGGCUAACUACGUG
rnacentral:rRNA from 1 species